AUGAAGGUAGCUGAGAAAAAAAGGAAACAACCGGACCCACACUUGAAUUCACAGGGGAGAAAUUAUAUGAAAAUGACACGCCCGGACCCCCACCAGUUGAAUUCACGGGGCGGAUAUUUUUUACUCCCUUCUAGUAGUGGCGGUGGUCGAUCCUUGUUCACAGUCGAGAAGCUUUAUGCAAAGAAGUCCAUCAACAUGCAGAGAAGUAUCGUCACUGGGGUUCUUGCACCAAUGUUGGAGGUAGGGAUGGAAAUGGGUAUUUUUACUCACGGGUACCCAUGUACCCUGUCGGGUGACGGGUAUGGGAAAAAAUUGUACCCACUAUUGGAGGAAACUGUGUUUAGAGGGUUUCUAAUGGUAUCCCUGACUAUGUGGUUUCCUACGACAGUAUCUGUUCUGAUCGCGGCUGUGGUAUUUGCCUUCGCUCAUCUUACACCAGGAGAGUUUCCCCAACUUUUUGUGCUUGCACAGGUGUGGCACUUCUCAUAUUCUCAAACUCAGGAUCUUGUUACUCCUAUCACAGUUCAUGCUGUUUGGAAUUCUGGAGUAACAUUGUUACUAACCAUGCAGGGAUAUGAUAUCAAGGAGUUGUUGCAGGCAUCUUGA
rnacentral:rRNA from 1 species